rnacentral:lncRNA from 1 species
AUGAGCAGUGUGUGUCAGAGUGAGAAACAGCACCUGGAUCUCUCAAUUGUGAAGCUGUUGCUCUUGGCACUGCGUCACCCUGACUGCAAACAAAACACCGAGAUUGACUUUGCCUGCGUCCUUCUUAUGCCUACAAAUGUGCCCACUUGCCAGCUUCAGAGCCAGCAGUCCACACCAUGUGCCCAAUGCAAGCCUGAUGCUUCCACACGAGGUCCAGAACUGUCAGUGUUGGGACCAGAGAGACUAAUAGGAAAACUUAAAGUUUUUAAGUCUGCAGCCAGCCAGCCCAGCAGCUCCUCUGGAAGGGUCGUUGUUCCCACCUUCCACCUCUUGCAGAGCAUCCAGACGACGCAGCGGGGAGCUGGGCACUGCUUGCCAGCACUCAGCAAUGUGCUGUUGAAUCACUGGGCCACAAAUUGGUUCCUUUCCCAAAGUUGGCCUUAAAGGACACACAACAGAAAUCUGCUCUCAGCCAGUGCCUGCAGAUGUAGCCUGCUCACACUUGCACAAACAGUGUGCACUUACCUCUACUGCACCCCAUUAAUGGAUAGAUUACUGGACGGAGCCCAGCUGUGUGAUGGUGCUGGCACACUCAGCAAGAAGCAGCAAUCCUUGCUUUGAGCACCAGCCAUCACAGAGGACCUGAGCAGUGAACUGAGCAUACAGCAGCCUGCAGGAGAGAAGCAAAGCUUCCAUUCUGCUGUGACACCCGGCCCCUACCUGCACAGAGCAGCUGUCACUGCCAAGGAGACACCAG